GGGAUUUUGUUUUGUUUUCCUCUACCCAAAGGUAUAUUUCCCAAGAGAUAUAACUAAAACAUUCAAUAAUAUUUCUUUGUAUAGCAUCCAAUAAUGCAAUGGCUGGAAGACAAGAAAGCGAUGGAGUAGCUGGGCGGGUGCACUGGAUAUUAUCAAUAAUUUUGAUGCUGUGGAGUUACCAGAGCAGUGGACAAGGACAAGCUAGAAAAACAGCAGAGAUAGAACAAUGAGCCUGGUGUAAAUGACACCAUGCAAAUGAGGGAGGAACCAAGAUCAUUCAUGGAAGAUGGAAGGAACAUGCAGUAGAGAGAGAUAUAUAAACUAAUUUUUCCUUAAGAAUAGCUUAAUAUUCCUUCUUUAUUUAUUUAAAUGAAUUUGGAGUCCCAACUAUAUAUAACGUUUUGCCACGUUCAGAAAUUAGCUCUAAUUUUUUGUGCAAACUGGCAUAUAAAGUUCAUUUAAAGAUAGUUGAGUCCCCAUGCUUAUGAAUAGUGUACAGCUGAUUUUGGGAGCCACACAGUCACCAUU
rnacentral:lncRNA from 1 species